ACGCUUAGCAUUCGUCUCAUCUGGGACCUGAGUACUCGGUCCUAGAACGCCUACCGAAGCAUGCAGUAGGGCAAUUCUAUCCACAUUGAUCGCAGUCUGAAUGGAGCACGCAGCGUUGAAGUGAAGAAAGCCUUCGGAUCGUAAACUCCGGUUGGUGGAAGUAAGAAAUCGUCAGGCAAGAAGUAACUGUUGUUCGGCGUGACCGGUAUCCAAACCAGAAAGCCACGACUUAUUUACGUGCCAGCAUGCGCGGUAAUACGUAGGUGGCAAGCGUAUCCGGAUUCAUUGGGCGUAAAGCGAGCGCAGGCCGGUUUUUUUAAGUUUGAUGUGAAAGCCCUCGGCUUAACCGAGGAAGUGCAUCGGAAACUGGGAACUUGAGUGCAGAAGAGGACAGUGGAACUCCAUGUGUAGCGGUGAAAUGCGUAGAUAUAUGGAAGAACACCAGUGGCGAAGGCGGCUGUCUGGUCUGUAACUGACGCUGAGGCUCGAAAGCAUGGGUAGCGAACAGGAUUAGAUACCCUGGUAGUCCAUGCCGUAAACGAUGAAUGCUAGGUGUUGGAGGGUUUCCGCCCUUCAGUGCCGCAGCUAACGCAUUAAGCAUUCCGCCUGGGGAGUACGACCGCAAGGUUGAAACUCAAAGGAAUUGACGGGGGCCCGCACAAGCGGUGGAGCAUGUGGUUUAAUUCGAAGCAACGCGAAGAACCUUACCAGGUCUUGACAUCUUUUGAUCACCUGAGAGAUCAGGUUUCCCCUUCGGGGGCAAAAUGACAGGUGGUGCAUGGUUGUCGUCAGCUCGUGUCGUGAGAUGUUGGGUUAAGUCCCGCAACGAGCGCAACCCUUAUGACUAGUUGCCAGCAUUUAGUUGGGCACUCUAGUAAGACUGCCGGUGACAAACCGGAGGAAGGUGGGGAUGACGUCAAAUCAUCAUGCCCCUUAUGACCUGGGCUACACACGUGCUACAAUGGAUGGUACAACGAGUUGCGAGACCGCGAGGUCAAGCUAAUCUCUUAAAGCCAUUCUCAGUUCGGACUGUAGGCUGCAACUCGCCUACACGAAGUCGGAAUCGCUAGUAAUCGCGGAUCAGCACGCCGCGGUGAAUACGUUCCCGGGCCUUGUACACACCGCCCGUCACACCAUGAGAGUUUGUAACACCCGAAGCCGGUGGCGUAACCCUUUUAGGGAGCGAGCCGUCUAAGGUGACAAAUGUUGA
rnacentral:rRNA from 1 species